AUCGAUUUGAUCCAUGCUCAACAUUAAGGGCUGCUUAAGAAUAAGCCUGCACAUCAAAUUAUCCUGACUCAUUCAACCUGGACAGAAUUAGUGAGAUUGCGUAAACUUAAUUGUCGUUUAUGAAGGUUAUUUCAAGUCAGGCUUUGGACUUUAAUCCACGCUUUUCUUAGUGUCGUUUAUGAAACAGUCCCCCGGUUUCAGGGCUUAGGUUAAGCCAGGAUAAGGCCAUAAAUUAUAAACGUGUCUUUAAAAAAAAAAAAACAUUAGUUGUGGUGAGCAUCUUAAAACCAUUGCACAGACAUAUUAUAAGAUCAGUGCGAGUUUCUUUCAUUUGAAAGAGCUCAGAGUUACGUUUUAAUCUGAGACUAGUCUUCAGCCUUGUCUGUGAAACCAGAGAUAGCCGAAACCAUUAAUUAUCAUUCAGAGUGUCCCUUACCAGUGUGCUGACUACUGAACUAGGGAGCUGAUUGAGACACACCGAUUGAUUUAUCUUUAAUUAUUCUCAUCUUAAACAUGACACUGUGUGGAUCUCAGCAGGAGUUUUUCUGUGUGUUUGGACACACUGUUAUAAAGAUGGAGUUUAUUAAAGAGGAGAGUGAAGACGUGAAGAUUGAAGACACUUUCAGAGUCAAACAAGAAGAUACUGAGGAACAAACAGACCUCAUGCUGCUGAAAGAGGAGCACAUAGUACCGAAUAAAACAGAAGAGAAAGAACAAUAUGAGACGACUCAUGAUUUUAAAACCGAAGAAGAAUCUUUCAGUUGGCCACAGAUUAAAGAGACUUUCUCACA